GACGAACGCUGGCGGCGUGCUUAACACAUGCAAGUCGAACGGUGAAGCGCCUUCCUUUUUGGUGGGUGUGGAUGAGUGGCGAACGGGUGAGUAACACGUGAGUAACCUGCCCCCUUCUUCUGGAUAACCGCAUGAAAGGGUGGCUAAUACGGGAUAUUCUGGGUCUGUCGCAUGAUGGGUCUGGGAAAGAUAUUGUUUCGGUGGGGGAUGGGCUCGCGGCCUAUCAGCUUGUUGGUGGGGUGAUGGCCUACCAAGGCGGUGACGGGUAGCCGGCCUGAGAGGGUGGACGGUCACACUGGGACUGAGACACGGCCCAGACUCGUACGGGAGGCAGCAGUGGGGAAUAUUGCACAAUGGGCGCAAGCCUGAUGCAGCGACGCCGCGUGAGGGAUGGAGGCCUUCGGGUUGUAAACCUCUUUCGCCAGUGAAGCAGGCCUGCCUCGUUUGUGGGUGGGUUGACGGUAGCUGGAUAAGAAGCGCCGGCUAACUACGUG
rnacentral:rRNA from 1 species